GCCCUUUUCCGGUUGAUCCUGCCGGAGGUUACUGCUAUCGGUGUCCGAUUAAGCCAUGCGAGUUGAGAGGGGUAAGCCCUCGGCAUACUGCUCAGUAACACGCGGACAACCUGCCCUUGGGUCUGGGAUAACCCCGGGAAACUGGGACUAAUACCGGAUAGAUCAGAGAUACUGGAAUGUUCUCUGGUCCAAAACUCCGGUGCCCAAGGAUGGGUCUGCGGCCUAUCAGGUAGUAGUGGGUGUAACGUACCUACUAGCCAGCGACGGGUAAGGGUUGUGAGAGCAAGAUCCCUGAGAUGGAUUCUGAGACAUGAAUCCAGGCCCUACGGGGUGCAGCAGGCGCGAAAACUUUACACUGCGGGAAACCGCGAUAAGGGGACCCCGAGUGCCAGCACCUAGUGCUGGCUGUCCUAUCGUCUAAAUAACAGUGGUUUAGCAAGGGCCGGGCAAGACCGGUGCCAGCCGCCGCGGUAACACCGGCGGCCUGAGUGGUAACCGUCAUUAUUGUGUUUAAAGGGUCCGUAUCCGACUUAUUAAGUCUUUUGGGAAAUCUGGCGACUCAAUCGUCAGGCGUCCAAGAGAUACUGGUAGGCUUGGGACCGGGAGAGGUGGGAGGUACUCCAGGGGUAGGGGUGAAAUCUCGUAAUCCUUGGGGGACCUCCGAUGGCGAAGGCAUCCCACCAGAACGGGUCCGACGGUGAGGGACGAAAGCUGGGGGCACGAACCGGAUUAGAUACCCGGGUAGUCCCAGCUGUAAACGAUGCUCGCUAGGUGUCAGGUGCGGUGCGACCGCAUCUGGUGCCGCAGUGAAAACUUGAAGCGAGUCACCUGGGAAGUACGGUCGCAAGGCUGAAACUUAAAGGAAUUGGCGGGAAGGGC
rnacentral:rRNA from 1 species